rnacentral:rRNA from 1 species
CAGUAGCCGCGGGAAUACGUAGGGUGCGAGCGUUGUCCGGAAUUAUUGGGCGUAAAGCGCGCGUAGGUGGUUCGCCAAGUUGGAUGUGAAAUCCCCGGGCUCAACCUGGGAACUGCAUCCAAAACUGGCGAGCUAGAGUAUGGUAGAGGGUGGUGGAAUUUCCUGUGUAGCGGUGAAAUGCGUAGAGAUCGGGAGGAACAUCAGUGGCGAAGGCGGCCAUCUGGGACAACACUGACGCUGAGGCACGAAAGCGUGGGGAGCAAACAGGAUUAGAUACCCCUGUAGUCCCUGUCUCUUAUAC